AUCCUGGCGGCGAGUGGCGAACGGGUGAGUAAUACAUCGGAACGUGCCCAAUCGUGGGGGAUAACGCAGCGAAAGCUGUGCUAAUACCGCAUACGAUCUACGGAUGAAAGCAGGGGAUCGCAAGACCUUGCGCGAAUGGAGCGGCCGAUGGCAGAUUAGGUAGUUGGUGAGGUAAAGGCUCACCAAGCCUUCGAUCUGUAGCUGGUCUGAGAGGACGACCAGCCACACUGGGACUGAGACACGGCCCAGACUCCUACGGGAGGCAGCAGUGGGGAAUUUUGGACAAUGGGCGAAAGCCUGAUCCAGCCAUGCCGCGUGCAGGAUGAAGGCCUUCGGGUUGUAAACUGCUUUUGUACGGAACGAAACGGCCUUUUCUAAUAAAGAGGGCUAAUGACGGUACCGUAAGAAUAAGCACCGGCUAACUACGUGCCAGCAGCCGCGGUAAUACGUAGGGUGCAAGCGUUAAUCGGAAUUACUGGGCGUAAAGCGUGCGCAGGCGGUUAUGUAAGACAGUUGUGAAAUCCCCGGGCUCAACCUGGGAACUGCAUCUGUGACUGCAUAGCUAGAGUACGUAGAGGGGGAUGGAAUUCCGCGUGUAGCAGUGA
rnacentral:rRNA from 1 species